UGAAAAAACACACGUUCCCCUCCUACAUUUCCUAUUAAAAUUCUCCUCUUUAUUUGUGUCGUUUUCAGUGUUGUGGUUAAGAGCACUGGUAGGAUAUCUAAAGACUCCCUUUCCAUUAAGUUGCCUUUUUCAUUGUGUUCUUUCAAUAUUGGCUGAAAUUCUCAUGCUUUCCUUCAUGGAGGUUCGAUGGGAUAUUUUGACAAUUGUAUUCGCUUCUUUGGUCCUUUGUUAAAGUCGGUUUUCGUUUGAAAGCACAAAUUCUUUGUUAUCCAUAAAGAAAUCUUGCAUUUCUUUUUGCGACUUUGGGUACCAGGAGUUAAUGCUUUUUGGUGAUUUGGGUAUCUUUCUUUUUCCUCAUUGGUUGCUUGUGUUGUUAGAAAUUUGCAUAUUCUGCUUACUGUCUGAACCAACAUAUUUUUUUGAGUGAUUUUGGAGAAAGAUUGAAUCUUGGUUUUGUUUUUUUAACUUGGAUAGUUGAGUGUAAUUGCUGUAAGUAUUGUGGAUGCAAAUUGUAGAGUAAGAGGAAACAAUUUUUACUGCACCUUAGGGGAUCUUGAUUUGAAAAACAUCAAUUAUAGAGCAAGUAUUAGAGUUCUUGGACUGCUGAGAUUUAGAUAGUAUAUAGUGAAUGGUUUAAUUUUAGUUAGUUUUUGGUGGUUGCUUAUUUCACACGGUGUUUGAAAUUUGUAGCUGAGUUCUGCUUUGGACAUAAAGCCAAAAUCUUGAGUACUGUGAAACAAAAUGCUUUUGAGUGAUUUUGGAGAAAGGUCGGAUCUUGUUAUUGUUUUCAAAAGCUUUGGUUUUUAAUUGUGAUAGUGGAGUGUUAUUGCUGUAAGUACUGUGGAAGUGAAUUGUUGUGGAUGCAAAUUCUACUGCACCUUAGGGGAUCUUGAUUUGGAAAAAUCAUCAUAGAGCAAGUAGUAGAGUUCUUGGAUUGCUGAGACAUCAAUGGUGUAUGUAGAUUUUGAUACUAUAUAGUGAAUGGUGUAAAAAUUUAGUUAGUUAUUGGUGGUGGUGAGAAUUGAGAUGUCAAUUAUUUCACCCCCUCCAAGUUCUUCUACACAAUUUGCAGCUCCACCAACUGCUUUGAAUUCUCCAGCACCUAUAUCUCAACCCAAUGAAAACUCAUCUUCUAUUGCAUCUCCACAAUCUGCUCCUCCUGUAGAAUCACCACCGCUGCCACAAUCCCUUCCUCCUACAGCCUCAUCUCCUCAGCCACAACCACCAGUUUCUACUCCAACACCUCCUGCAGAAUCUGCUCCUCCAAUUAGCCCUCCUCCGACACCGUACGGUCCGCCUGCUAGCUUAAUACCACCUCCAUCUUCUAGUACUUUUGGUAGUUCACCAGCACCUCCAUCAUCAAGCAUACCAAGCAGUCCACCACCACGGCCAUCACCUCGACCAGAACCAACUCAUCCUGCAAGUUCACUUCCACCACCAUCGACACGUCCCCCUGCAUUGUCACCUCCCCAUUCAUCAACUAUUCCCCCUGCAUUGUCACCUCCAUCACCUGUGCGAAAUCUGAAACCUCCUCCAGUACCACGAUCACCAGGGAAUGCGUCUCCUGAACCUCCUAAAAGGUCAUCACCUUCACCACCAUCAUCCAAGCCACCAGCGAAUGCACCUCCAUCUAAGCCACCACGAAGUACUCCAGAUUCGCCAGCCUUAGUCCCUCCGAAAAAUUCAGCCCCUUCCCCAGCUGCAGUACCUCCUAGUAAUUCAACAUCUUCUAGUUCCCCGCCUACAGACUCAUCAUUACCAACACCUACUGCACAAUCAUCACCUCCUCAAUCGCCCAAUGGUGUACAACCUUCUAUUUAUCCUCCUUCACCAUCAUUUCCUUCAGGUGACUCUACUACGUCCAGUAACAGUUCAGCAGACAGAUCAAAGGAUGCAGGGGAUGGAGGCAUUGGUACUGGAGGGUCCAUUGCAAUUGGCAUCAUACUUGUGUUUCUUUUGCUUGGUAUUAUUGGAGCAGCAGGAUGGUGCAUAUGGAAGCGAAAGAAAAAAGGCUCAGGCCGGAGUGGUGGUUAUAUCUUGCCAGCAACUCUGGUCUCCUCUCCAAAAUCAGGUUCUGUCUCAUUAAAGGUUCAAGAAUCAACACCUGAGAUUGGAAAUGGAGAUGGCUCCAAUAUUGCGGAUGUUCCAGGAAACAGUGGUGGAUUAGGGCAUUCAAAGCCAUGGUUUACUUAUCAAGAACUACUUGAAGCUACUAAUGAAUUUUCGGAGCAUAAUUUAUUGGGCGAGGGUGGAUUUGGUUCCGUGUACAAGGGAGGCCUAGCAGAUGGGAGAGAUGUAGCAGUAAAGAAGCUUAAUAUUGAUGGGAGCCAGGGGGAGCGUGAGUUCAGAGCUGAAGUUGAAAUCAUUAGUCGGAUACAUCACAGACACUUGGUUUCACUUGUAGGUUAUUGCAUUUAUGAGAACAGAAGGCUCCUUGUCUAUGAGUAUGUCCCUAACAACACCCUGUACUUCCAUCUCCAUGCACAGGGGAGGCCUGUUAUGGAUUGGGCAACACGUGUUAAGAUUGCUGUUGGUGCAGCCCGUGGAAUAGCAUAUCUGCAUGAAGAUUGCUGUCCUCGCGUCAUCCACAGAGAUAUUAAGUCGUCUAACAUUCUUUUGGAUAACAACUUUGAUGCUCGGGUUGCUGAUUUUGGAUUAGCUAAAUUAGCUCAGGAUGCAAAGAGUCAUGUUACGACACGUGUUAUGGGUACGUUUGGAUACAUGGCCCCUGAAUAUGCAUCCAGUGGGAAGCUGACUGAAAAAUCCGAUGUAUAUUCCUUUGGAGUUGUGCUUCUGGAGCUAAUUACUGGACGGAAGCCUGUGGAUGCAUCUCAGCCUUUGGGGGAGGAAAGUCUAGUUGAGUGGGCUCGACCUUUGCUUGGCCAUGCACUCGAAAAAGAGGAAUUUGAUCAGUUGGCAGAUCCUCGCCUUGAAAAGAACUACGAUGACAGUGAGAUGUUUCGAAUGAUUGAGGUUUCUGCAGCUUGUGUGCGUCACUCAGCUGCAAAGAGACCAGGAAUGGGACAGAUCAUGAGAGCUUUUGAUAGCAUGCUUAUGUCUGAUUUGACAAACGGUAUGAAGGUUGGUGAUAGCGCAAUAUAUAACUCUGCUGAGCAAUCUGCACAAAUAAGAUUGUUUCGGAAGAUGGCAUUUCCUAGUCAAGAUCUUAAUUCAGAUAUUUCCAGUACUCAAGACACCAAUUAUAGUAGAGAGUUGGCUGAACAUUUUUAGAUGAUAUACCAUGGAGCAAGAUGUCUAGCUGGAACAAGUGUAUGAAUCUGUUAAUAUAAUCAAAGGCUGCUUAGCUGAGAGCACAAAGUCCUUGGACUUACUACAAUCACAGCCUGGUGCAGGCACUCAAACUCUUCUCAAAGAUCAUUCAAUCUUGAAAAGUGCAGAGACUCAGACAGGGAUCCCUGCACCAAUGUAGCAGUUUCUUUAAGGAUAUUGUAGAUUCUUGAUCCAUCCAAUUUGGUAAACUUUUCAAGGUCUUGUCAAAUAGCCCGAGCAAUGGAUGCAUACAUAAUACCGUUAAGAAGAUUCUUUGAAACAACCCAAGAUAAAACUAUUGCAUUAACCCUUUCCGGGUGAUUCCACAUGAUCUCAUGAAACUUUUCUUUAACACAAGAACCAUCAAUCAAUCCCAAUUAAUGUCUACCUAAGAGAGCAAUUCACAUAAAUCUAGCCCAAAUUAAAUAAUUCUCUAUGCCAGUGAGUUGAAAUGAUAUGAUUUGUAUUCCACUAACAUCAGAAGAAUGUAAAAAUAAAGAGUGAUUUUAAUGUUGGAA